rnacentral:rRNA from 1 species
AAUAUCACGAAAAUAGUCACGCAAAGCAUUGGGAUUAUCAUAAAACGCCUCUAAUCGGUCGUCAGCCAACGUGAGAGUGUCAAAAACGAUAAACCAACCAUCAGCAUGAGCCUGUCGCAUUGCAUUCAUCAAACGCUGAAUAGCAAAGCCUCUACGCGAUUUCAUAGUGGAGGCCUCCAGCAAUCUUGAACACUCAUCCUUAAUACCUUUCUUUUUGGGGUAAUUAUACUCAUCGCGAAUAUCCUUAAGAGGGCGUUCAGCAGCCAGCUUGCGGCAAAACUGCGUAACCGUCUUCUCGUUCUCUAAAAACCAUUUUUCGUCCCCUUCGGGGCGGUGGUCUAUAG